CGGCACAUGGCAGAAAUAUGCACUGUCAAUACUGUCGAUUCCAGUUCCAGAGGCGGCGCGGACUGCAUCUGCAAGAUAUAUACUGAGGACGAGUGGUCAGACCGCAAGAGUUCAUGUCGGAUGGGAUGCUGAUCAUAUCAACAGCCCACAAGGAGAAGUGAGACGUUGUCUGAACGCCAGCCAAAUAAAUUAACACAUUCAUCAGAUGAUGCUAACGCAGAACACACUAAUAUAAAAAGGAUUCAAGAGUGUGAAAGAUGCCGUGCUCCCGUGGGAGAAAUCAAUAGACGAAUAUCACAGGGCAAUCACAACACUGGCUG